GAGGGAGAGGAGAGGAAGCAGGCAUGAAAACUGAUUCCUGGUCAUAGGACUCAGAUUUAAGGGGGACACUGCUGCCUCUGAAGAGCUUUGCUUCUUUUGGGAGGAGAUUCUGGGAAUGUGAAUGGAGGCCCCUUGCAGCCCAUUUCAAGCGUGCCCAUCUCAGGAGUACUCGGUGGAGGUUUGUGGAGAAGAGUCUGCACGUGAAAAAUGAU
rnacentral:lncRNA from 1 species